AAUUAUAUUGGAUCUGAGCACCUGCUCCUUGGACUGCUUGGUGAGGGUGAAGGUGUGGUGGCUCGUGUGCUUGAGAGUCUCAGAGCUGACCCUAGAAAUAUCCGUACACAAGUUAUUCGAAUGAUUGGUGAGACCACAGAAGCUGUUGGUGCUGGAGUUGGCGGCGGCAGCAGUGGUAAUAAGAUGCCAACUCUUGAGGAGUAUGGAACUAAUUUAACAAAAUUAGCAGAGGAGG